AUAUUCAAGGUUUAUACUCAACAUUUUACUAGUGUAUAAGCUGUGUACAGCACUCUUUCAAUGUAGUCUGCGACAUGUUACUGUAAAUUUAAAUACAGUAAUAUGAAAUGACCGCGAAAAACAACCACUAACUGCCAUUUUGUGAAGAACUCUUUCAGUUCUCUGAGCGCCUUCGCCUCGCGACGCUGUCUGUAAAGUUCGCCGUAAAUAUCUUGUUUCUUGUCAGGAUAAAUCCUGAAAAUUCGAAAUGCAGUUCUGAGUUCCAGGUGAGCAGAAAGAGCGGGAGGAUUGUUAGGAGGAAAACCACAAGUUUCAUCUUUCAUUCGGGAGUUUGCACAAUAUGACUGGCAGAAUCAUUCAGGAUUAUCAGAAGUGCGACUUUUUCCACAUGACACCAGCCCUUCUCACCUGGCCUUCAUCCUCACCUUCUUUCUUUGUUUGACUUCUUUCUUUGUUCUACUGUGUGUAAGUUUGUAUUUUAACUAUUAAUCUUUCCAUGAAUUGUUCACUGAUUUUAAUUAUUAAUUAUAAAUUAAUUAAUCGUGUUUAAAAACAGAUUUUUA